GGAUUAGUGGCGAACGGGUGAGUAAUACGUGGGUAACCUGCCCUCCUUUUUGGGAUAAGCCUUGGAAACGGGGUCUAAUACCGAAUAUUCUGGCGCUCUCGCAUGGGGGUGUUGGGAAAGCUUUUGUGUGAAGGGGGAUGGGCUCGCGGCCUAUCAGCUUGUUGGUGGGGUGAUGGCCUACCAAGGCGGUGACGGGUAGCCGGCCUGAGAGGGUGACCGGCCACAUUGGGAUUGAGAUACGGCCCAGACUCCUACGGGAGGCAGCAGUGGGGGAUAUUGCCCAAUGGGCGAAAGCCUGAUGCAGCGACGCCGCGUGGGGGAUGAAGGCUUUCGGGUUGUAAACCUCUUUCGCUAUCGACCAAGGCCCGCUUAGGGGGGUUGAGGGU
rnacentral:rRNA from 1 species